rnacentral:misc_RNA from 1 species
AAUAAAUGGUAAAAAAUUGAAUAAUUUCCCUGAAACUUAAAGCCAAUUCUUUACCUUUCACCUUUCUUCCAUACCUUCUCUAAUGUUACCCUACCAAUUUCACUUUCCGAUCAGCCAAAAGCCCACAAAAAAAUAUUUACCUUCGAGAAAAUUCUUUAACCUAUCUCAAUUGAGUAAAAAUUGAAUACUUUUAACUAGACUACAAGCUGUUGCUGCUGAUCAAGUUGCAUCUGCUCAAGCCAAGAUUCUAAAACACAAUCAAUUUGAGAAUUAGGAAAUCCCUCACCAGAUAAGGCUGCACCAGAAACAGGUACGCCAUACUUCUCCUUAAUCAUCUCAGGAGGUGAUUCCUUAACCAGAGACUGUACCCAGGAGAGGUCAGGCUCAUCACCAUUGUUUCCAAGCUCAAAUGACGAAGAUCUUUGCAAGUGACCCCGUUCAUUUCCUCCACCAACAGACAAAUCAAAUUUCCCAUUUGGGGAACCCCACUUAGUCCAAGAAUUCACUGGAGAUCCAACCAUUGAGGCUGCAGGAUUGUUUGAUCCAAGAUCCCUCGAACUAAGGCUCCGUAGUUGUUGGUGCUGCUUCUCCCGCUGGGCAAAUGCUGAGAGACGGGAGCCCAUCGGAGAGAUUGGCUCUAAGCUUCGUGGUGACAUCCUUCCAGGAGAUCCAACACCAAAUGAAGCCUGCAGUAGAG